rnacentral:rRNA from 1 species
GAUGAACGCUAGCUACAGGCUUAACACAUGCAAGUCGAGGGACCGGCGCACGGGUGAGUAACACGUAUCCAACCUGCCCUUUACUCGGGGAAAGCCUUUCGAAAGAAAGAUUAAUACCCGAUGUAAAGGAUGGGGAUGCGUUCCAUUAGGUUGUUGGUGAGGUAACGGCUCACCAAGCCUUCGAUGGAUAGGUGUUCUGAGAGGAAGGUCCCUCACAUUGGAACUGAGACACGGUCCAAACUCCUACAGGAGGCAACAGUGAGUAAGAUUGGUCAAUGGGCGUCAGCCUGAACCAAGCAAGUAGCGUGCAGGAUGAAGGCUUAUGGGUCGUAAACUUCUUUUAUAUAAGAAUAUGUAUUAUAUGAAUAGGGAUCGGCUAACUCCGUGCCAGCAGCCGCGGUAAUUC